ACUUUUAUAGUUUAUAAAAAACAUUACUUUUUCAAUGUAAAAUAGAUACGUCUAAAAGUUA
rnacentral:tRNA from 1 species